CAGCUGGCGUCAGCAGAGGUGAGGAAGCCGGGAAUAGAGGAGAAAGCUGUUUCUCGCUAGCCUUGGUUCUCACGCGCCAUGGCGGCCCCCGUCCAGCAGCCUCCUCAGUCUAGCGGUGGAAAGCGCAAAGGGAAAGCUCAGUAUGUGCAGGCCAAGCGGGCGCGGCGCUGCGACGGCGGUGGGCCACGGCAGCUGGAACCCGGGCUACAGGGCAUUCUCAUUACCUGCAACAUGAACGAGCGCAAGUGCGUGGAGGAGGCCUACAGUCUGCUCAACGAAUACGGCGACGACAUGUACGGGCCGGAAAAGUUUACAGACAAAGAUCAGCAGCCCUCUGGCAGUGAGGGAGAAGAUGAUGAUAUGGAGGCUGCCUUGAAGAAAGAAGUUGGUGACAUUAAAGCAUCUACGGAGAUGAAGCUAAGAAGAUUCCAAUCAGUGGAGAGUGGAGCAAAUAACGUAGUCUUCAUCAGGACACUUGGGAUAGAACCUGAGAAAUUGGUACAUCAUAUUCUUCAGGAUAUGUAUAAAACCAAGAAGAGGAAGACUCGGGUUAUUCUACGAAUGUUACCUAUUUCGGGCACAUGCAAGGCUUUCUUAGAAGACAUGAAAAAAUAUGCAGAAACAUUUUUGGAACCCUGGUUUAAAGCUCCAAACAAAGGGACAUUUCAGAUUGUAUAUAAAUCUCGAAAUAACAGCCACAUGAAUAGAGAAGAAGUUAUCAAAGAAUUGGCAGGAAUAGUAGGCAGCCUCAAUUCGGAAAAUAAAGUGGAUCUUACCAAUCCACAGUACACAGUGGUAGUAGAAAUCAUUAAAGCUGUCUGUUGCCUGAGUGUUGUGACAGAUUACAUGUUGUUCAGAAAGUAUAAUCUCCAGGAGGUGGUUAAGAGUGCUAAGGACCCAUCACAGCUUAACCCAAAGCAGCCAGCACAAGCCGGAAAUGGGAAAGAAGCUAAAUUGGAAUCUGGUGACAAAUCAAAUCAAAAUGACACAGCAGAAGGAAAAAAUAACCAGCAAGUGGUACCAGAAAAUAAUGAGGAGCUGGGGCACACAAAACCAAGAUCUGAGACACAGGUGGUGAGUGAGGGAGGAGCUAAUCCUGAACUUGAAAGUCAAGUCACAGAAGGAUCUGAGCCAAAUGAAAAUGACCUCUCAUAGAGAAAAAAAAAGUCAUUUGAUGUUGCAGACAUAUCAAGAGUUUGGAGCCAAUGCUGAACACAGGUUUCAGAACUGCAAACUUAGUUUAUCUACUUAGGACACUUUAUUAGCCUGAUGGAGAGAUCCUAGUUCUUAUGCUACCCAGCAUUUCUGUUAAGACCCUCAAGCCAUCUCGUCAGACCAGUUAGCAAAAUAACAGGGUGUGUAUAGCUUUUAUUCACACAGGUGUGGUGUUUGUUUAAUAACAUGUAUUUUGUUAAACAUAAUUGAUUUUUCAUGGGUGAAAAAUAAUUGGCCUGAAUCACAUCUUUCUAAAGGCUAAAGAAAUGAGAGCAAUCUGAUACCUCAAUCUAGCUGUCUCUGGCUGAAAAGGAGGGACAUGCCUGAUUUCAAGACAAAUAUUGGGUUCUGAGAAUUAACAAAGUGAGAAGCUCAGGGUGAGGGGAGAAUGGAAGGAGCUGCUCUGGGAGAAAGGUGACCCCACCUUUUAGUCUUCUCUACAAAGGGUUUGGGAUUUAUCACCUAUUGUUUUUGUUUCACUGAGUCAGAAACCAAAGAUUUGUUUGGACUUGAGACUUCUAAUCUGUUACUUAGAAUCUCAUGCUCAGUGGGACAUUAGAAAUCCUGAACAAUUUGAAGCACAAGAGUGGAUUUUAUGCCUGAGAGUGUUGUGGGUGUUUCCUCUCUGUUAAAUACAUUCAAAGGCCAAGUCCCUGGAGACUUCAGUUCUUAAAAAGGAAUUAUUUCCACAAGCCCAGGAAACUAUAUUCUGAAGAAUCAUUUCUCUGUAGUUUUAGAGGAGACAAGGGAGAGAUGUAGCUAGAAGUCAUGACUUACAUCUAAGAAAGUGUCAGUGUCAAACUGGGCCAUCCGAUGUACAAAGACACACGCUCCCUGAAGCCAGGAUGAAAACACACUGCCAAUGGCAGCCUUGAUCCAGCCAGUGUCAGACAUGUUCCAUAUGAUAUCUGAGGACUUCAGGUCUAGCCAAUACCUAAGUGAUAUGGAGAAGCAACAAGACCAAAAAAAAAAACAAAAAAAAACAAAACAAA